CAUAAGCACAAAGAGGAAUGGAGCAGCUGCUGUAAGCUAAGCUCGCGGCUGCGGAUGGUUCAAAAUUGCUGAAGUAUUAAAUGGAUGUAGCAUGCACUUAAAUAAUAUAAGGUGAUUGGGUGAAUGGAGUUAGUUUUGGCGGAGGAAAAGGAACAAAAACAUAAAGUACACCUACAAAAAAGGUGGUACUAUGUACAUGCACUUAAACGUUAUUUUAUUUUAU